ACCACUUCUCCAAGGUCUAUAAAACUUUAGUCCCUUAUUGUGCCACCUCACUGAAGUUUUAAGCUCUUUUGAAGAUUCAGAUAGAAGGUUUCUGCAAGCCUUGAUGGCGAAUGAACAUAAAGACAGCUCUGCUAAAAAGACCUGGCCAAAGACUUCAGCAGUCCCCUGUUGGUAGAAGAACUAAUAAUAAAUGCCAAUACUAUUGUAUGGCUACAUACAGUUCUGGGCCAAGUCACACAGGUGACAGUCUAGAUGGGAGUCUGACAUUCAGUCAGCAAACACACCGAUCCCAAGCCACGACAAGUCAACUGAGGAGCAAGUUUUUAAAAGCAUUAAUGUUGGAAUUUGUAUAUAGUGGAAAACAACAUGAAUGGCAAAGAGAGACACGUGGAGAAGAUGAGAUAGUACGUACAUAUCUUCCUUGUCCUGCUUUUAGAAAAUCUUUGAAUAUUUUUCAAGAUGGUUCUCAGAAACUCCUGCCAGCCUCCUCUGAAGAGCCGCACACCUACUUGCACGCUGGUCCCACGGCAGUAGGACGUGACCUCCGGAGCUGCUUAAGCAGGCAGGAUCGGGAGGGCCAAGGGUGAGGAGAGUGCAGCCCUUCUUUUGGAUAUAAAAAUUGAAGUUGUACCCAAACUUCAGUAAGGAGAAUAAAUAAUAUUUCAGUGCAAUAUUUUAGAAGAUAAAAAUUCACGAAAAUCCAUGAUGAGAAGAAAUAUUUUGAAAUUAUCAGUAAAGGCAUGAAGGGUAUCACUGAAUUUUCCUUUUGUGUCAGGUCUGUCAGGUUCCACUGUAGUUCGGCAUGUUGCUAACCAAUAUGCACACAUUUUGGAAUCCUUGGCAUCCUAAUAAGUGCAUGAAGAUAAUAUAUAUAUAUAAACAUAUAUUAUAUAUGUAAAUAUAUAUAUACUUUCUUUCUGUGCAUCAGCCAAAGAAAGGCUGAGGUGAGGACAAAAGCAGAUCCCUGAAGAAGAGUUCUCUGAGGACUCUGACCCCACGAAUGAGAGACACUGUCCCUCCUCAGAGCUUCCUAAAGAACGUGCCCUUUUCCCUGCCUUUUCCCGGCCUCCACACAGCCUUUCGCUAGAGUCAGGACAGGUCACUGAAGUCCAAGAGUGCCAGCACUUGUAUGUUCUACGAAGAACAAGGAGCACACAGACAUGCUCAAGGGACCACAACAGGUCACUCACUGACCAAUACAUAAAAUGUUCCAGUGGAAGGCAUGACCUCAUCGGUAUCUACCACCACCCACACACACUGGCUGCACUUAUGGCUCCAGGACUAAAUUAAAAAAAAAAAAAAG